UACGUAGGGUGCAAGCGUUGUCCGGAAUUAUUGGGCGUAAAGAGCUUGUAGGCGGUUUGUCGCGUCUGCUGUGAAAUUUCGGGGCUCAACCCCGAACUUGCAGUGGGUACGGGCAGACUAGAGUGUGGUAGGGGAGACUGGAAUUCCUGGUGUAGCGGUGAAAUGCGCAGAUAUCGGGAAGAACACCCGUGGCGAAGGCGGCUCUCUGGGACGGUACUGACGCUGAGACGCGAAAGCGUGGGGAGCGAACAGG
rnacentral:rRNA from 1 species